AAGACCUUGCGCUUUUGGAGCGGCCGAUGUCUGAUUAGCUAGUUGGUGGGGUAAUGGCCUACCAAAGCUUCGAUCAGUAGCUGGUCUGAGAGGACGGCCAGCCACACUGGGACUGAGACACGGCCCAGACUCCUACGGGAGGCAGCAGUGGGGAAUUUUGGACAAUGGGCGCAAGCCUGAUCCAGCCAUGCCGCGUGAGUGAAGAAGGCCUUCGGGUUGUAAAGCUCUUUCAGCCGGGAAGAAAAGGUUGCGAUUAAUAAUCGCAAUUGAUGACGGUACCGGAAGAAGAAGCACCGGCUAACUACGUGCCAGCAGCCGCGGUAAUACGUAGGGUGCGGGCGUUAAUCGGAAUUACUGGGCGUAAAGGGUGCGCAGGCGGUUUUGUAAGUCAGAUGUGAAAUCCCCGGGCUUAACCUGGGAACU
rnacentral:rRNA from 1 species